AUCCCUUCCUCCGUGUGAGGACACAGCAAGAAGACAGCCUCUGUAAACCAGGAGGUGGGCCCUCACCAGACACUGAAUCUGCGGGCAUCUUGAUCUUGGACUUCCAGCCUCCAGAACUGCUCUGGAACGGCACAGAAGAAUUCGUCGGCCCUAACGUUCUGGUAAAAUUCCGCUGCGGAAACAUCUGGACCUGGUGUUCUUUUGGAGCGGCUCUUUGCUUUUCUUCUCUACUUCUCCUGUGAUAGUUGGCUUAAGGUACUGAUUCUCUUCAAGCUGAAUGCUAUGAUUUGCCCCGUAGAGUAGCCAUGGGCAGCAAACGUGGAUUCAUACAGCUGUCUGAGAAGGUUCCCAAUGAAUACGUGAAUUUAGAACCAUCUUUGAAAAAGAGGAAGGCACAAAGAAGAAGAGUGCACUUACCAGAACUUAAGCUCAUAAGCUGGUGAAGCAAGAUCCCUGUACGGGCCACCAGAAGAAAUGAUGCGGGCUCGGCGAGCCGAGGAGUUGAAAGAAAGAUUUCUUGGACUCUCAAGGUCUAGGAGCAGGGCUCCUUUAUUCAGAGU
rnacentral:lncRNA from 1 species